ACCAGCCCACCACGGCACGUUGUGAGGUCACCCACAGGCUCAACUUUCGAUUGUGAUCCUUGACGCCGAGCAAGCACAAUGCGUGUCGCAGAUGUUCCAAACCGGGCCUAACCGCCAGGACAGUGGGACGACACGCGCUCAACAGUCAGGAUCGGGCGAUGACAGAGUUCUGGUACGAUCCUCUUGCGACGAGCCGGCUUCUGGCCAAAUUCCUUUGCACAGUUCUCCCGCAUGUGCCGCGGGAGAUCGAGUUGACGGUCUGGAGCUGUUACAAGUCCUCUCAGUCGGGCAUCGGAAAGAGUGGUGUAAAGUCCAAGCCCAUCGGUCACGUCUCGAAACACGGGCCAAGGAGUAUAGCAUGUGUGCAAGUCUAAGAGUCUCACAAAACUCGAAGGCAAAGUGAAAGCAAGUAAGCGGCGGGUGAUCUACGGAGAGAUCCCGUCAGCUAGAGGGUCCCUCGGGGCUCUCCGGCUUUGGCAGAGUUGAUCCUGCAGCGGUACCGCAUACGUACGCUCAGGCGCAAACUCCAGGCUCACGUUUCGCACUGGUUCUCGGACUGUGCUGUGAGCACUGUGGAGCAUGCAUGCUAUGACCCGAAAGAUAGUGAACUAUGCCUGGCGAGGGCGAAGCCCC
rnacentral:rRNA from 1 species